rnacentral:rRNA from 1 species
CACGUAGGGGCCAAGCGUUGUCCGGAUUCAUUGGGCGUAAAGAGCUCGUAGGCGGUUCAGUUAGUCGGGUGUGAAAUCUCCGGGCUCAACCCGGAGGGGCCACCCGAUACUGCUGUGACUCGAGUCCGGUAGGGGAGUGGGGAAUUCCUGGUGUAGCGGUGAAAUGCGCAGAUAUCAGGAAGAACACCAAUGGCGAAAGCAGCUCUCUGGGACGGUACUGACGCUGAGACGCGAAAGCGUGGGGAGCGAACAGG